ensembl:lncRNA
GUAAUGAGCACCUUUCAUUUGUUGUCUGAUGUAAUUAAACAAAGGGUGAUGUAAACAUGUCAUGCAGCGUGAAAGUCACACAAAGAACACACACACACACACACACACACACACACACACACACACACACACACACACACACACACACACACACACACACAGACACACACAGUCACGUGGAUAGAAACCCAAAAGAUCAGAUCUGUCCCAGGAAACAGUUAUAGAGAUUAGACAGGUGAUAUUCUUAUAAAUGUUUCUUGUUAACCAAUUGAGUGAUGUUCAAUGUCUCCAUAAAUUGCACGUGAACACUGUCGUUCAUUUCUAGUCAAUCCAGCAAACACCGUCCUGGUGCCAUAAGCACUCAGUAGGACAACAAAUAUGUAUGCGGAAAAUAGUUGCUAACAAAUGGGAGGAGGAACAAGAGUGCAUAUGGACAGGUGGAGAGCGCGCACACACAAAAGCACACACACACGUAUGCAGGGCAAUGCUUAGCAGCAGGCAGGCAGACAGGCAGGGCCAAGAAUAAGCCUGGGCCGGAGAUAAGAUUCCUGGGUGGCUUUGCCAUGGGCAUGGGUCUACAGAGCACAGCAGCCCCGGGGCAGAGGGAGGAGUAGGCUGGGAGAAGGGGAGAGACGGGGACAGCGUUAUCAAGCCAGUGCAGGGGCUGGGAUGGGCGAAUGGGCAGUCUGGGAAUCCCACUUCCACUGCAGCCUUCCCCUUUUCCCUUCAUGAGCCAGCCACAGCGCUGAGACAGAAGGGAGGAAAACAGCAGAAAGGACCUGCCGAAUAGCAAAAAGAGCCAUGAAAAGAAGGUGUUUAUAGGCGUGUACGUGUCUCUGACUGAUACUGUCUAUAAGUGAGGGACACACACGUUUAUUUAGUAUUUUAUUCAAGGUAUUUUUUAGAGAGUGUCUCUAGUUCGAGCAGCGGGAGAAAGCGAGGAGGGUAAAGCAGACAAAGAGAAAGCAAGAGACUUCACACACACAGACACACACAUACACACACACACACACACACACACACACACACACACACAAACACACACACAGGUUUAGGAUGCAAAUGCACUGUAUCUUUGAUAAUGGUGGUGCUUCGUGUGUGGGGACCUUUAGAAAAUAGUAUCCAUUAAGUUAGAAGCAGAUCUUGUUUGAAUCCGAGAUGAGUCCGGUGAAACUAAAUAUACACAUUUAUAUUCACAUGCAUUCUCCUCUCUUCUGCUUUGGGUGCUGUGUGUGCUACUGUGAACAAUCAUGUGUCUUUACAGGCUGAAUAAGUGUCUCCCAGCGGGCAGGCGGUGCAUGUGUAUGUAUGUGUCUGUCUUCACAGCAGGAUCUGAUCUACUCGCUAUAUGUGAGGGUCUAAAUAACAUGCAGCACGCCGCCUCCCCGACAGCUCCACACAAGCCGCGCUGCAACGCAACACAGCAAAGACCCAUUUUCGGAACCUCUACACAACUGUGUGAGACAACAGAGACGGCACAACAACAUCUGAAGUUCGAUUGUCACAAUUUAAUAAUGAGUCCUUCAGUACAGCAUCCCCCCUCUACCAAGAAAUUCACGCAUCGAUACACAAAAAGACACUAUAGAUGUCUUUAGAUUAUUUGAUGCAAACAAUUCUCAAUUUCACAUAGUUUAUGUUUAUGUAUGUUUUCUUAAUCGUAUGUAAGAAAACCAUUUAAGGAGGCAGACAGUCGGGGAAGGUAGCCUUUGCUCAUCUAUCUCCCUUUUCCCUACAUCUCAAUCUAGUAGUGAUAAAGGAGAGCCUUCGUUGCCAGACACAUGGCCAAUUACAAAUUAGCCAGUUUGUCGGGGGGGGGGAAUCGUAAUCAGGCUUCAAGAGGUGGAGGCCCUUGAAGAUUAAUUGGAAAUGGGCCCCCGGUAAAUGUCAAUGGCAAUCAAGAGUUUGUACAGCUCUGAUUGACUCUAUACACAGACCCCUCUACCCAGGAUAAGCUUUCUCCAGCCGUGACAUUGCUGGCACGACUCCCCCACCUUCUCCGGCCCGGCACAAAAGAGGCAAGAAAGAAUGGAGAUGCGAGACAGCGUUGAAAUACCAAGCGAGGAAAGAAAAGAGGUACGUUUGACAUUUUCAACCCAGCGGGGUGUUCAUGGUUAGGAGCUUUGGUUAUUAUUUGAAUAGGUGUGGUGUAUAUUCACGAACACCCAAAGGUUCUCCGUGGUCGGAGCGGACAUUAUUUCAUUGAAUAGUUUCUGAAGAGUAUCAGCGGAUACAUUUUUAAUUGAGCUGAUAAGCAUUUAGCUCCCUCUCAUAGAGUUACAGUAGUAUCACUGUGGCACCUAACUCGUCCACGAACAUCCAAAAUGUCUGAGAGAACUUCUAACGGAGGUGUUUGUGACGCCUGAAGAGAAGGUUGUCAGUUUUGGAUGCUGGGGAAGAGUUUACCCCGCUGUCUUACAUUCAUCUGGAUAUUUACCUGCAGAGAUCCAGUGCGACAGGGAAUCGAAGCGUGACAGGUCAGCCCGGGAUGGAUGGCACCUCGCUGCUCUCGCAUAAGUUUUACUGUAGUGACAAACGCUGUCAAUAUAUUGACUAAAUGUCAGAAAGUUGGAAAACAGGAUUUUCCUACACAGCCCAGUCUUGUCAUCCUCAAUCCCUAUACAGUGCAAUUAAUUCCGCGGCUUUACUCCCGGAUCCUCGCGCACUUGCAGAUUUCUGUUACUGAGGCGGAAAACCCACUUUAGUCGAUUAGAUGCCUCGAAUGACAGGAAGCGCAAAGUCAACUGAGCGUCUAGGCAAGAUGACUAAUGAGGAGGGAGUGGCAGAGGGGGGCCACGUAAAUAAUUUCAUGGAUACUGGCGGUUCAUCAACCCGGACACACAUCAAUUGUUACUAAAGAUUCUAGGGUACAACAGUCUGUAAAACUGUGUUUGUGAAAAGCAGCAAACAGGCUUUGAGCGUUGCGCUGCUAAAUGAAUAACUCUCUUAAAUCUUCUAUCUCUCCUACGUGACCUUUCUCUUUGGAGGAUGAAAUUCCAUACGUGGAACAGUUCAAGACUGUGACGAGACUAUCCUGAAAUCACCCAUGUCUUAUUGUGUUAUAGUAUGUAUCUAUGUUUAGAUCAAAGCAUUAGCAUGUCCCCAGAGAAGGUCACAGUCUUCUUUGAUGCCAGCUGUCUGACAGGGAGGCCCACAUGUACUAAUGUGUGUAGACCUCACUGUUUCCUCUCUCUUUCUGUAAAGCAUACUUUGUGUAUUUAAACGGUUGAGGUCAAACACUUGGAGGGUACCCAUAAUUUUCACUCAUUGACAUACAGUGUGAGGGGAUUUAGGUGCAUCUACUGGAACUAUACUUUAUCAUAUCAUCAGUAACGGCAGGAGGAUAAUCUCAAAGUGUCAAAUAUUUUCAAUAAUAUAAUUCAUAAAGAAAGAGGCAUACAGAUACCACCUAUGCCACCAAUCUGGGAGACAUUUCUAUGAAUGUGAGUGCAAGGGAACUCUUAAGGCGAUUUUGAUCUGCUGUGCCAACAAAAUUAAAGAGCCACAUGCUCUGCUGUCAACCUCUGCCGUGUUUUUUUUCUGGGUUUAAUACCUGGGUUUAGGAGACUAAAGACAAAUUUCUGAACUUAUACACCAUAAAAAAAACAAGACUCAAUCCCAUCAAUUUGAUUUGUACAGGACCAAAAGCAGAUGGUAAACAAAUAUUUUUAAAACUGUGCUUCCUUUGAUAUUCUGGAAGGGGCUUCAUCGUCUGAUUUGUAAGCCGGUGCCAGCAACAACUGCAUUUUAGAAGCGCUGCCAGAUUUAUUACAAGGGGGAACUGGAGCAGAACAGCUCUCUGGCGAUGCACCAUGGACAUUAUGCAAAUGCCAUGAGAGAACAUAUUAGCUAGUCUAUCGGUUCCCCUUUAGAGAUGCCUCCACCAAAUUGUCUUAGAAGUCGCAGUGAGCUCCUACUGAGCCGAGGAAUGGUUGAAUAUGAAUCAGGGUAACAGAACAGCCUUUUUGGACAUUUCGGAGCGCUUUUCCCUCUUUCCAAAUGUUUAGAUGCUUCAUUCCAAAAACAGAACAUACACGGUGCAUCUCUUUGUUUGUGUUAAGUAGCUAUCAAAUGCAAAUACCACAUAUCAAAUCAUCCCAAAUAUGACUUGAUAAAGACGCAUAUUCAAUCUUAAAAAAAACACAGUAGCUCAUUGAAACACAUUUGGCGUAACGUCCAUAACACUUGACGUGCACAUCCUCCAGGAGAGCGUUGGAGCAGAAGUCCGAACGGUUGGAGCGGCAAUGUUGACGAUGGGAUAUAUUCCCAGUAAUAGCCUUGAUGUUUGUUUUUAAAGAGGCUGUGGCACUGCAUGCCAUUAUAGGGCUAAUGAUGUACGAUUGUCAUCUCACACAUUGCAGAGUUAAUUGGGCCUCUGUGAUCAUGCCUAAUGGCUGUACCAGGGAAUUAUUGACACAAUGGUGUGGGCCGACGUGCUACAGGUAGGUGAAUAAAUAAAUAAGCAAGCCCCCCUCCGCUGCCCCCACCGCUUUCUCCCCAGACGCAAAGCUCGUCAAUCUUGGCAACUGCGUCUUGAGCACCCCAGUCAGUUAACAUUUUAGAAAAUGGCUGCCCAUUAAUAAUAAAGACAUAUUAACAUAAGUGAAUUUCUGCUGUGGUGUGGGAUUCAGUGGGAACAGUUAUUAAAGUCCAAUUUGGCCCCAUUAAUAAUGCAUUCAUCUUUGACUUUCUGAUAUCCAGAUUAUGUGGUAUUACUGUGGCAAUACAUUAUUUAUUAACCACUUUCAAUUGGGGACCUUGAUGACUUCUAAUUGGUAGGUGGUGGUGUCAUUAAGUUAUCCCUGAUGAGACUUGUCAAUCAAAAUGCAUUCUCUAGACCUCGGUGUCCAACAGUCUGUGCACACACACACACACACACACACACACACACACACACACAUAUAUACACACACACACACACACACACACACACACACACACACACACACACACACACACAGGUGCCAGGUGACAACAGUGCCAACAGUGCCACUGUGCGGGGCAGGGGCAUAGUGCUCCACCUUGCAACCCUGCCAAGACACAGAGGUCGGACUCCUGUCCAUCACGGAUAUUUGAUGUGUUGCGGAGGGGCGGCUAAACGACAUGGGGCCCGCUGUUAGAGACGCCUGGCUUUAAAAGUUAAUGGGUCCUGUACUAUGCUGAAUGACACUGGAAGGGUGAGCGAUUGUCAUGCUUCCAUCCUCUGGGGGCACAUUGUCAGUCAGUCACUCCGAUAGACAGACAGUGGCACAAGUACAGACAUAGAUACGUACCCUGCACUACUGUAUGCACUCGAAACACUGCAUACACACUUGGAAAAGUGUAUAUAUGUGAGCAGAAACAUGGCAACAUGAAUACUAAAGGUUUUGGGGUAUGCAAACAUAUGCUGAUUUCACAUUGCGCAGCAAGACAAUGACAACACGUCCUGUUCAACUUUAGGCCAUUGCAAUCAUGCUUAAUCACGCGGUCCAGCAUGUUAAGAUUUUAUUGCAUGGUCGAUCUGCUCAAACUAAUUUGAAACUGAAUGACAAUCACCUGCUGAAGAGCGUUUUCGGUGCACAGAAAUGACUGAGUAACAAUUUGUGCACAGCAGAGUAAAGAGAAAACGGAAAAAGGAAAAAAACAGCGUGAAUGGAUUCUGCUCCCCUGAGUGCUGGCAAGAAAUGGAAUCGAGAUAAAAAAGGAGGAAGUGAGAUAUCUUGUUAAAUACACUGGAAUUGGAUACACACAGUCAGGCUGUACAAAGCCCCCGUUUCACACACACACACACACACACCUACAUCUCACCCUCACAAACAAACAGAACCAGCUGAGCAUACAGUUGUAGCUGCAGACCACCUAAGACAUUCAAGCAAUGCACAUGUUCCAACACAAAUAAGCAAUCUUUAGGAACCUACCUGAAUCUUAUUAAUUGAUAUUUAAUCUGGGCUACAUGAGGGAGAUUUUCUGGCAAAUAAAAGGGACCUCAUGUUGAAUCUGGCAGGCACUACAUCCCAAGAGCUGCAGUAGCACCAGCUGUGCGUGACUCAGAGAUAUUUAGCAGCUCUGUUAACAAGGAUGGAUAUGGUGCAAAGUGUUCUUGAUCGGGACUUUUAAGGCCACCUGCAUCCGUGUAUCAGACCGAUCUCUGUUUGAAGUAACGCUUAUCUACUUGUAAUAUGUUCCUUUGAUUCCAAAAUCAAUUAUCAAAAAUAGGACAGCAGCAGAACCACGUAUAACAUACAAGAGUAAAAUUGCAGAUAUCCAAGUACUCAAUAAUGCCGAAGAGAGAAAAAGACUAUGCACCGAAUAUAUUAUAAUUUUGAAAAGCAACCAGAUGUUUCAAUCCAACUUGUAGAUAUAUGUUCUCAACCGUUGUCAAGAAACAGGCUUUCCCUAAAAUUCCUGGUAGAUGAACUGAAUAAACCAUGUCUAUUUAAGCAUUAUUACUAAUUUAACUUUAACUUAACUUAAUUAACUAAUAAUUUGCCAGUACAUCCCCUAUGAAUUUAUGAGAUGGACAUGUAUGAUAUGUCUAUAAUGGAUGGAUUAACAUGAGGGAAAGCCUUUGUUUACAAGACAGAUCUUCAGCUUUUCUCCUUUUAAUGAUGGACUUAUCAUUUUUGGAUAUUUAUAGUUUGAUUAAUGGCUGUCUUUUAUGUUUAAUUAAUCAUUAACUAAUAGUUUGUUAGGAUCCUGUUAGCGACAUUGUUAUAAAAUGUUACCAUUAAUAUUCAUGUCCACUGAAUAUUCAUGUCCAUCCUCGCCCAUCAGUAUGCCUGCGAGGCGCCAGUAGAAGGCCAGCACUUAUAAUUGGCAAUCUUUUCCUGUUGGUUGACAGUACAGAAGAGUCAUUUCCUUGCAUUCAAAUCUGCGAGUCACACAAAGCCGGCUUGUCAACUUUCCACUUCAUUACAGGUCAAGCAAUAGACUCAUUUCUCUCAGGCGCGUCGCUCCCAUAAUUGUUUUCUACCUCUCCUUUCGCAGCCAAUUUACAUGUGCUUCCUUGCUGAGUGUAAAAGAGACAGAGAAAAGAAAGAUGAAAAUGCUCUUUCACUUCCACUCACCGUCCAUUAACGACUCGACACAUGGAAUGCAAAAAGUAAUAUGAAUUUUGUUCUUCAGCAUUUGCUUUGAGGCAUAUUAUACAGUAUGUUAAACUGAGCUGAGAAUUCGAUAGGACAUUAUGGGGUAGGGGAGAGGAAAAUGGGAUGAACGCAAGCUGAAGGAAACAUAUGUAUAGGCUGCAGGCAGCAAUAACUCAGGAAAUUAGAUGUCAAUAUAAUUGUUCACAUAUGAAAUGUUAUAUUAUAACUUUAGCAAAAAUGGAAAAAACAGAAAUUGUCAUGGUCAAAAAAAAAAUUGUAAGACACAGCCUGAACAAUUCGAAUUAAUUGCAUUCUAAUACAUAAAAUAUUUUGUAAAUGUAUAUGUCUAAUGUCUUAUUCUGUGUUGCAUCGUGUCUUUUUUGCUACCCCCCCCCUCUCUCUCUUUCUCUAUUUCUCUCCCUCUCUCUCUGCCUCUUUGCUGCGCUAGUCAGCUUGUAAGCUCAGCCCAUCUGGGAUCAAUGCUUCGAGAACAGCUUAAGUUCUCCUGUUGGUUUCGCUUUGUUUUUUUUGUUUUUUGUUUACCUCCGUAGCUGUGUGUUAGGGUUGCUGAUGCCCCUGUUGCCCUCCCCCCCCCCGAUGGGGUCCCGCCCCCCCAGUUUAGGGACCACUGAAUUAUAUAGAGAUAUAGUCACGUAGCUCAGUCCAUCAACAGAGUGCAGGUGCAUUCGCUUAUGACUAAAUCCAGUCUCAGUUGAGGCACUGAUACUUUGUAUACAGAUGUAUACAUCAAUUCCGGGGCUUUCCUCGUCGGCACAGAUUUCAGAUUUCGGUCCCCAUAAAAUUAUUUGUACAAAUUCAGAUUUGGACUUCCUUCAUCAAACGCCCUUGGUUGCUCAGAAUUUCCUCUCCUGAUUUCUAAAUCACAUUGAUGCAGCAAUAUCCAGCAGCGCUGUAUUGCGUCACUCUUGUCUGUCCAUGAAUCUUCACCCAUCUGAAGCCAUAGUGCUGCGAUAACCCUGCCCCCACUCCUCUGAAAAAUCUCUCUCAGCCUCUUUGCAUCCCACGCUCCUCCUCCGUGUCUCAAAACCCCAUUUCUUGAUGCCAAUUGGCAGCGGCAAGCGAAGACAAGUUUCUCGUAUGUCACCCUACGCACAGACUGCACGAUAAUGCUAAUUCCCUGCGACAACAAUUUAGCAUCGUUACCAUAAAUGCUCGACAUGUACCCAAACUGCCCCCAAAAGUGAUUGCCUCCACAAUUAAACAAAGAAAGGAGCUGACAAACUGAAAUUUAAGGUGAGCAAACCUUACCCUGGAUUGCAUCAGUAGGACAGAAUCAACUGCAACAGACCGCAUGAACUCAAUUUGGCAAAAGGGAAUUAAGAUUUGCUGUUGUAGCACAUGUGCUUUAAAAGACUUCUUGACUCAAAUGAUUGCUGGAAGGUAUGCAGGGAUUUUAAACCUGGGUUUGCUUGUCAUUGCUGUCUUAUUCUUGCAUUUCCAAAAAAGGAGUCUGACACUCACUUACAGUAUCAAAGCCCUGUUUUUCCGCCUUUUCAAAGCCUGAUGUGUGCAUGUUUCAUCAGCGAGGAAUGCAUUUCAGCUCGGUCUUGUGCAUUUUUUAUCAAUGACAAGCAUGUGUGAGUUUCUUUUAUGGCCCAGUCCUGCUGUUUUGGCUAACUUGUUACAAACUACUGUUAUCAAACAACCGAUGGAAGCGUUUCAUUUUUCCAUUUCACCCAACCAUGAGGCUGUUUUUUUCCGGCUGUAGUGCGGCAAGACCUUCACAAGGCCGAGCUUUUAAUUGCUUCUUUGCAGGGGGCUCGUCUUGACAGAGCCUCACAUCCUUUCUUCCAUGGGAAAAAAAAGGACAGAGAGAAAUCUUGGAAACAGCCGCAAAAAGGAUUUCCGCCUACGCUUGAUCUCCCCUGUGGAGUUUGUCAAACAAACGAAGAUCCUUUAAUUUGGUCACAACAGGGGCCUCCCGCUAUAGACCCAGAAAAGUCAGUGCUCCCCCUAAUGUCCCAAAUGAGUUGUCUGACCUCUCAAAGUUCAUGAACAUGACUCUGAAUGUCUUGUAGUCAACAGCACUUUUAGGACAACGGCGUCUCCUCCUUUUGUUAUUUUCAUCAUCAGACACAAGAAAGGAAGCAUGAUGCGUUUCUUCCAUGUUUUUUGAUGAGCCGCGUAUUUCACCAAGCUUACCAAGCCAUCUGGGUAUUACACCAUUUAACUUUUUCUCUUUUCAUCACUGCCAGACUCGCAACUGCACCAUGGUCUUCAGCAAGUCUCCAUGGGAACUGGCACAGAGGAAAUUGUCUCUCAUAACCAGAGCACCUUAGGUGAGAGGGGCUUGAGAUCUCAGAAUAGCACCGAGUGAAACAGGAAUCACUGGCAAUCUGUGUGGUCUCACUGAUGCUAAAAUAAAACAUAGGCACAGUUUGAGCAUGUGCCAGUUUAACUCAAAGCACGAGUUAUGAAUCUGCCCUCACAUGUGGAUGUGCUCCACCUACUGCAGCAGCAUAUACUCAGCGUGUGAAAUGGAGAGGUAUAACACUUAUAGGGAAAAAUCAAUUUCCAGUUUAAAUGUCAAUGGAAAUUAUUUUUAUAUAUUGAUAGAAAUACACAUAUCAGUAUAUAACAUUGUGGAGGAGAUAUGUUUCUAUCUGAGUGCCGGGCACACUUUACCUGUAUGGUAUGAUUUUUGAUCCACCUUUUUCAAACAUUGCAUGGAUUGACCCCAAAUCAAUUUAAAUGCGUGCAUUUAAAUAUGCCCUAUGGAGUUGUGUGGGCAUUUUCUUUCUCUUCUUUAUUUAAGAGAAAAGGAAUUCUGACGUAAAACUGAUUUCUUGUGCCCUUGGUUGUUUUUUAAAGUGGUCUGAGGGGUUUUGAGCGAACCAUUUGGCCAGCAGAGGCUGCUGCUCUGAGGGGAGUUGGAGGUCUCAGUGUCCCUGGAGAAUCUUGAUCCCUCUCUCAUCCAUCUCCAGGUGCUCCUGUAUGCUCUCCAGUUCAAAGCGCUUCUCUGGCUGUUCUGAAAGCCAACUGGAUCCUGGUAAGUCCAAUUCUGGGGCAAGCCUUUGCAACGUGAAGCUUAAAGGUUUAAUAUAGUGUUGAAAAAAGGUCAUUCCCGGGUCAUGUGGCAUUAUAUAGGCAGCACUUUUACUACAGCACACAACAGCAACAGCAGCAUUAAUUGUAGAAGAAAGAUGUUAGCAUAAACGGUGACUCUGUGUCGGUCUCUCUGUAACGAAUUUCACCAUGUGAAAAUAUAAUAAUCAUCAAGAGUAUUAGCUGGCUGGUGGUAUCUUUCAGAAACAGUGAUUUAGAUCUCUAUGACAAUGAAAAUGUAUCUGGAAUGCAAUAUAAAUUCCGCUCUGAUGCAUGCUGCGGUUGAUGGACAAUUUGUGCUGCUUUGGAGGCAAAAAGAGACUGCCGCCUGUUGCUUUUCGUGGGUUGGACUGCAGGGGGAAUCAGCCUGAGCUCUGCUGUUCUGUCAUCCCUGGCAAUGAGAGUGAAUAUGAGACAUUAUGCUUGAUCAGCUAUGAACACUAUAUUUGCCCUCAGGAAAUGUUGACGAAUACCUAAAUCACCCGCUUUGACUGAGUCUGCAGCUCUGCGCUUCAGCUCUCAAAUCUCUCUUUCGUCCUCAGCCGUGUGGUUCUCACUUCCCAUUUCUCCCUCCCCCCCUAUUUUCUCUCUAAUUUCGCUCUCUUCAUCUGAGAACAUGAUUUGUCAUCGAGACUGAGAGAGGAGAUAAAAAAAAUGUUUAUUUCAGAAAAAAAAAAGUGUCUUAAUGUACUUUUUUAAAAGAAUUGAUGCAGUGGCAUAGAAAAAGAUUCAUUUAUCACGCCAUCAAGCACAGGAACAGCUGCAGAGAGUGAUGGGUGUAAAUUGCGAGCCGCCGACAAUGCCUGCGUUACAGAUGGAUUUCCCUGUCUGUGUUUCAUAUUAAGAUGCGGGGAAGAAGAGAUGGGAGACAAAAGGGGUUAGCGGAAAGAAAACGCUAUUUUGUAAUCUCUCGACCAAACUUUUUGAGGGGGGUAAUUUGGAACAAUUAGCUCUUAGCUGCUCUCUUUGGUUAAAUUUUCCAUUAUUGUCACUUGCUGAGAAAUGCUGUUGACCCUAAUGGAAUCAGCUUUAUAUACAAAUGCCGAUGUCAAAUGCUCACCCUUCACACUAAGCCAUUCUGUUGUUUCAGCCUGUGUGAAAUUACAACACGUUGUGAGUCUCCCCAUUGGUUAGUUAAAAGGGCGAAAUCAACGGGAGGGAGAUACUGGUGAGCCAGCAGCAGCAUUUAACGUACUAUUGUUGUAUAUUGCUGUUCCGUGGGCCACACAAUGUCAAGUAAAGGCAACUGUUACAAGUAAACAAAAGUCCUGAUUAUAAGUCAGAAUUCAAAUGGUUCUGUUUUGAAUACGAUGUCUUUCUGUUCAGACCGGAUAAAACCGAAUGAGGACAUCAUUCAUUGUUUUCAGAGUUGUCUCAGAAUCAUUUUUAUCCUUUAGCAGCUUUUCUUUAAAUGAGGAGCUUUCUUUCACCACAGCUCACCAAUAGCCUUUUGUUGGACCUUUCAGGGGGAUAUUUUUUUCCUUUAACAUCAGAUCAUUUUCGAAGAGAAAGAUUACUGUAUGUUGCACCAAUUCUCUUUUCCCCCCUCCCUCGCCACCAUGUCGGACCGACCACCCGUGUAGCCCACCCCUCGGCUGCGGUGUGGAAAUGUUCCUGAGAUUUCCUCUCUUCAGAUUAGAAACGCCAAUUAUGUUUUAUCAAGACAUGGGGUCAAUAAAAUAUUGAAGCAAUAUUGUUUACUCCGAUUAAGCCUCCAAGUGGCAGAUGGAGAUUAUAGAACAGUUUACAUUUUUGUUUGCCCAGAAAUAGGGGCACUGUUGAAUUAUGGAUCAAAUGGUUGAGCCUCUGGGAAAGCACAGAAUAGAUACGGAGGUAAUCCCGAAAUGCUGAAAUGCGGGUGUGUGUG